AUUGAACGCUGGCGGCAGGCUUAACACAUGCAAGUCGAGCGAGCGGCGGACGGGUGAGUAAUGUCUGGGAAACUGCCUGAUGGAGGGGGAUAACUACUGGAAACGGUAGCUACUACCGCAUAACACCAGAUGUGCCCAGAGGGGAUUAGCUAGUAGGUGGGGUAAUGGCUCACCUAGGCGACGAUCCCUAGCUGGUCUGAGAGGCUGACCAGGCAAAAUGGAGCCGAGACACGGGCCAAACUCCUACGGGAGGGAGCAGUGGGGAAUAUUGCACAAAGGGAGGAAAGCUGAUGCGGCCAUGCCGCGUGGGUGGAAAAGGCCUUCGGGAUGGAAAGCACUUUCAGCGAGGAGACGUUUCUCUAAGAAGAAACACCGGCUAACUCCCUGCCAGGAGCCGCGGUAAUAC
rnacentral:rRNA from 1 species